rnacentral:lncRNA from 1 species
CUAGCUUACGGGUACGGAGGGUGAUCAGCCCCGUUGUACCCUGUAUUGAUCAAUACUACAUAACCUGAACGAAAUUCAUCGUUUUAUUCUGUUCGCCUUGGGCACAAAAAUUUUCCCAUAUAGGGAUGUUCAUACAUGCAUGGUUCUAAACCCGAAGGUUUUUAAUCUUGCUCAACAAUAAUAUGUAGUUCAACAUAUAUAUAUAUAUACGGGUAAUUGAAAAAGUGUAUCAACAUGUGAAUAAAUG